AUACCGUUAUGUCUUCUUCCUCAUGACUGGAAAAACAAAUAUGGUGCCAUGCCACACAAAAGAUAGCAGAAGGACAAUCCCAAACCCUGCCUUUAGCUUCCGAGUUGUCCCAGAGGCCCAAUUUCUCCAGACUGCUGGCAUCAGAGCACACUGUACCCUGCUAAAUUACCAACCUCGGCUCUAGAGGCCAAUAAGUUAACACUAAAGGGUUAAAGCUAAAGAUGUAUUGUUUGAGAAAAAUAUUAAGUGAGAUAAAGUGCCUGGUACCUGUCAGAUGGGGACAGCCCUCCAAAGUCCAAGGUCUCAUCCACAAUGAAUUUGACGUCUGAAGGGAUGAGAAUAAACGCCAGCUAUCAGGCCCUGCAGGCUCUCAGGACCUCAUUCCUCCCUCCAUGGCCUCCUUACCUUCUUUCAAAUCCUCCAUGCCCAGCCAGCAGAAGCGAGUCAGCUUAGACCUGAGCAGGAGAGACAACAUGCCUACCUCAGGUGCAGGGAACUCGAGUUCCAACACCUGAUGGACGAUCUGCCUCGAGCAGUCUGCGCUCUCCACCUCCCUCCUGGUAAUUAUCCGGGAUUUUCCUCCCCCGCCUCACGCCACCUUUCCACUUCCCGGCACCACAUCCCCGCCACACCUCCGGCGCACACUCCGUUUCCACUCCCCAUUCCGCCUCACCGUUC